UACGGAGGGGGCUAGCGUUGUUCGGAAUUACUGGGCGUAAAGCGCACGUAGGCGGCUUUGUAAGUUAGAGGUGAAAGCCCGGGGGCUCAACUCCGGAAUUGCCUUUAAGACUGCAUCGCUAGAAUUGUGGAGAGGUAAGUGGAAUUCCGAGUGUAGAGGUGAAAUUCGUAGAUAUUCGGAAGAACACCAGUGGCGAAGGCGACUUACUGGACACAUAUUGACGCUGAGGUGCGAAAAGCGUGGGGAGCAAACAGGG
rnacentral:rRNA from 1 species